rnacentral:rRNA from 1 species
UACGAAGGGGGCUAGCGUUGCUCGGAAUCACUGGGCGUAAAGGGUGCGUAGGCGGGUCUUUAAGUCCGGGGGGAAAUCCUCCCGCCCAACGGGGGAAGAGCCUCGGAGACUGGGGGCCUCGAGGGAGGUAGGGGCGUGCGGAACUAUGGGUGGAGCGGUGAAAUGCAUUGAUAUCCAUAGGAACUCCGGUGGCGAAGGCGGCACGCUGGACCUCUUCUGACGCUGAGGCGCGAAAGCCAGGGGAGCAAACGGG